rnacentral:rRNA from 1 species
AGUAACACGUAGCUAACCUACCCUUAGGACGUGGAUACCCCCGAGAAAUUGGGGUUAAUCCGCGAUAGAUGUAAUGUCCUGGAAUGGUAUUACGUCUAAAGGUAUUUCAUACAUGUUUGAAAUAUGCCUAAGGAUGGGGCUGCGGCCGAUCAGGCUGUUGGUGAGGUAAUGGCUCACCAAACCUUUGACCGGUACGGGCCAUGAGAGUGGUAGCCCGGAGAUGGACACUGAGACAAGGGUCCAGGCCCUAAGGGGCGCAGCAACCGCGAAACCUCCGCAAUGCACUCACGUGCGAUGGGGCUAUCUCGAGUGCCACCUGAUGAAGGUGGCUUUUUCCUUGGUCUUCAAAGCCUUGGGAAUAAGAGGGGGGCAAGACUGGUGUCAGCCGCCGCGGUAACACCAGCCCCUCGAGUGGUGGGGAUGAUUAUUUGGCCUAAAGCGUCCGUAGCCGGCCGAGCAAGUCUUCCGUUAAAUCCAGCGUCUCAAGCGUUGGACCGCGGGAGAUACUACACGGCUAGAGAGUGGGAGAGGUCAGCGGUAUUCUGGGGGUAGGGGCGAAAUCCUUUGAUCCCCGGAGGACCACCAGUGGCGAAGGCUGCUGACUAGAACACGUCUGACGGUCAGGGACGAAAGCUGGGGUAGCGAACCGGAUUAGAUACCCGGGUAGUCCCAGCCGUAAACGAUGCAUGCUAGGUGUUGGGUUGGCCACGAGCCACCCCAGUGCCGCAGGGAAGCCGUUAAGCAUGCCGCCUGGGAAGUGCGAUCGCAAGAUUGAAACUUAAAGGAAUUGGCGGGGGAGCACCACCAGGCGUGAAGCCUGCGGUUUAAUUGGAGUCAACGCCGGGAACCUUACCGGGAGCGACAGCAGAAUGAAGGCCAGAUUGAAGAUCUUGCCAGACGAGCUGAGAGGAGGUGCAUGGCCGUCGCCAGUUCGUGCCGUGAGGUGUUCUCUUAAGUGAGAUAACGAACGAGACCCGUGCCACAUGUUGCCACCAGUAUCUAAAGGAUAGCUGAGCACUCUUGUGGGACCGCAGCCGAUAAGGCUGAGGAAGGUACGGGCAACGGCAGGUCAGUAUGCCCCGAAUCUCCCGGGCCACACGCGGGCUGCAAUGGUACAGACAGAGGGCUGCCACCCCGAAAGGGGGAGCCAAUCCCUAAACUGUACCUCAGUUGGGAUCGAGGGUUGCAACCCACCCUCGUGAACAUGGAAUGCCUAGUAACCGCCAGUCAUCAUCUGGCGGUGAAUACGUCCCUGCUCCUUGCACACACUGCCCGUCGAACCACCCGAAUGAGGUUUGGGUGAGGAAUGGUCGAAUGUUGGCCGUUUCGAACCUGGGCCUCGUAAGGAGGGUUAAGUCGUAACAAGGUG